GGGGCGGCCGCGGGGCUGCCUGGCUGCGGACGGGGAGCGCCGACUUACUUAAAAUUUGUAUCUGAAAAUGCUUUCCUCGUUUGGCCAUAGCCAGCUAUGGUUUGAAGCUUCACUUGGUUGUAACGGAAUAGCCGGGCUGUAUGUCCUUAGCAUGACGUCUCCCCUCUGCCUUUUCCUGCGAGGGAUCGCUCGUAAGCUCAUCCCGUAACUGCAGUUGCCUAAGGCUGCUAAAAGCAGCUCCUUCUCUGAGCUGGCCCGUCUUGGACUGUAGUAAUGCCAACGCACCAAGCAGGACAGUUCGGCCUCUCGAUAUAAGAGAGAGGACUUCUUCCUCUUGAAAAUUUGGCAGCCACUAGCCCAUCCUCUCAAUUUGGUACUUGAGGUUUAAUGUCUGAAGCCUGUGAAGGAAAAAAAAUGGUAGGUCUUCAGUUGCAACAGACAUUCGGUGUAGCUAAUUUGGUGGAAAGUGCAUUUGGAGAAAACUGUUGAGUAUUUCAUGGACAGCAUUUACUGAGAGCAUCUGGACUAUUCCUGACUCCCAAUACAUUGCUACACCCUAUGGAUGUCCAUGAGAAGAAGCACACAAACAUUCUAGAGUCACCCCAGCAAUUGAGAAGUUCUGAAAGCAGUAAGAAACAGCUACUAAGAUUUUGAGCAGCAAAAAUAAUCACCAGAUGUCUAGUAUUCUCAGUCCUCCUACAUGUUAUGCUUUCAUGACAUACUAGUGUUUGUCACUACUGACUACUUUGAGAUUUAUGUGUAAUUUUUUUUUAUUGUUUCUGCGUAUCAGUGGAUCUUAUCCCAUGGUAUUUAUUAAUUUAGAGAAUGGAUGCAUGCUUUGUGACUGGACUUGGAAAGUAAACCUUUUUUCUAUAUUGAUGGUCAUAUCCAAUCAAUAAAACAAUAAGAACCAUUGCA